AGGAUCAUUAUCGAAUAAAACUUGAGCAGGCUGUUGCUGGCCCUCCCAGGGGGGUAUGUGCACGCUUGUUCUUCGUUAUUUCUCCAACUUGUGCACAUCCUGUAGACCCUGGAGCUUUUGCAUGUUCAAAAACUCCGAGUCGGGACUGCUGUGUUUCCACUUGUAAUGUGUGAAGUCGGCUUUCCCUUUAGGUCUAUGUCAUUUUAUAUUCACAAAUGCCGUUCAGAAUGUUUUGGAAUCAGGUCUUUAUUGUACCUAUAGAAAUGAAAUAUACAACUUUCAGCAACGGAUCUCUUGGCUCUCGCAUCGAUGAAGAACGCAGCGAAAUGCGAUAAGUAAUGUGAAUUGCAGAAUUCAGUGAAUCAUCGAAUCUUUGAACGCAUCUUGCGCUCCUUGGUAUUCCGAGGAGCAUGCCUGUUUGAGUGUCAUUCAACUCCUCAACCACGUUCAUGUGAACCGUGGCUUGGAUGGUGGGGGUUCAUUUGCAGGCCUCUCUCUUCUGAGGUCGGCUCCCCUGAAAUGUAUCAGCGGUAAUCUUAGGCUAUUGCUAUAGGUGUGAUAAAUUAUCUAUGCCCUUGGUGUAUGCCACAAUGGAACUGCUUCUAAACCCA
rnacentral:rRNA from 1 species